rnacentral:rRNA from 1 species
UACGUAGGUGACAAGCGUUGUCCGGAUUUACUGGGCGUAAAGAGCGCGCAGGCGGUCGUUCAAGUCGAGUGUGAAAGCCCCCGGCUCAACUGUGGAGGGUCACUCGAUACUGAUCGACUUGAAGGCAGGAGAGGGAAGCGGAAUUCCCGGUGUAGUGGUGAAAUGCGUAGAUAUCGGGAGGAACACCAGUGGCGAAGGCGGCUUCCUGGCCUGCUCUUGACGCUGAGGCGCGAAAGCUAGGGUAGCAAACGGG